rnacentral:rRNA from 1 species
AACGUAGGACGCGAGCGUUAUCCGGAAUUAUUGGGCGUAAAGAGCUCGUAGGCGGUUUGUCGCGUCUGCCGUGAAAGUCCGGGGCUCAACUCCGGAUCUGCGGUGGGUACGGGCAGACUAGAGUGAUGUAGGGGAGACUGGAAUUCCUGGUGUAGCGGUGAAAUGCGCAGAUAUCAGGAGGAACACCGAUGGCGAAGGCAGGUCUCUGGGCAUUAACUGACGCUGAGGAGCGAAAGCAUGGGGAGCGAACAGG